rnacentral:RNase_P_RNA from 1 species
CGGGUUGGCCAGGCAAUCGCGUCGGCGCGGAUUCCUUUUGGGGAAACCGCAGCCGCCGAGGAAAGUCCGGGCUCCGCAGGGCAGGGUGGUGGGUAACGCCCACUCGGGGAAACCCGCAGGCCAGUGCCACAGAAAAGAAACCGCCGGCUUACGCUGCUUUGCAGCCUGAGCAGGUAAGGGUGAAAAGGCGGUGUAAGAGACCACCAGCGUCCCGGGUGACCGGGACGGCUAGGUAAACCCCACCCGGAGCAAGGCCAUACAGGACACGUUUGAGGGCUGCCCGCCCGAUGUGUCCGGGUAGGCCGCUUGAGGCAGCCGGCAACGGCUGCCCUAGAUGGAUGAUUGCCGCUCCCGGUCCGGUAACGGUCCGGGCGUACAAAACCCGGCUUAUCGGCCAACCCGUCCA